GAUGAACGCUAGCGGCAGGCUUAACACAUGCAAGUCGAGGGGUAUAGUAGCAAUACUAGAGACCGGCGCACGGGUGCGUAACGCGUAUGCAAUCUACCUUUCACAGAGGGAUAGCCCAGAGAAAUUUGGAUUAAUACCUCAUAGUAUAUAUAGAUGGCAUCAUUUAUAUAUUAAAGUCACAACGGUGAAGGAUGAGCAUGCGUCCCAUUAGCUAGAUGGUAAGGUAACGGCUUACCAUGGCUACGAUGGGUAGGGGUCCUGAGAGGGAGAUCCCCCACACUGGUACUGAGACACGGACCAGACUCCUACGGGAGGCAGCAGUGAGGAAUAUUGGACAAUGGGCGCAAGCCUGAUCCAGCCAUGCCGCGUGCAGGAUGACGGUCCUAUGGAUUGUAAACUGCUUUUGUACGAGAAGAAACUCUCCGACGUGUCGGAGCUUGACGGUAUCGUAAGAAUAAGGAUCGGCUAACUCCGUGCCAGCCGCCGCGGUAACAC
rnacentral:rRNA from 1 species